ensembl:lncRNA
CAACUUGAAUGGUUACUAAAUAUACCAGGCAUGCAUGGGGCUGAGAUAGGUGGGGUUAUGUGCAGCUGAACAAACACGAUGACUAUUUCUGUAGGGACCCUGAGUGUUUGGCACUUUGGGUUUGAUGAUGUACCUUGCUAUUUAAGGAGUGUGGGAGAAUUAUCCUAUCUGAAGUUCAGAAUAGACUUUUCUCUUCAAGAGAAAAUUAUUUUUAAGUAUUUGAAUGAUUCUUGAGUAGAAUAUACCUAUCAUAAAAAUUUACAAUCUACAAUUCACGGUUCCAAGAUGAGAUCAGAGGGCCACAGAUGUAAUUGGCACGGUUUUCAGUUCCAAGUGAAAUCAAUGGAUAAAUAUUUUUUGAAACCAAAUAUUUUUCAAUGACCAUUUUAAAGAAAUAGAAUCAUACUCAUUUUUGGGGGUGUGGUCAUAAAAAAGUUAAAGAACAACAGUGAAGAAAGGCGUUAAUCCUGUGGCAGAAAAGAACCCGAUCUUCAUUGUAUCAUGGGGGAGCUAACUGUGGUGCGUGGACUCUUUAAUUGUGGCUCAUGGGCUUAGCUGCUCCACAGCAUGUGGGAUCCUAGUUCCCAGAGCCGGGAUGGAAGCUGAGUGCUCCGCAUUGCAAGACAGCUUCUUAACCACUGAACACCUGAGAAGUCUCUGGAUGGCAGUUUUUAAACAGCCACUCUGAAGAUGGGGAUUUUAUUGUACCACUUUACUUUUCCCUCCCUUCUGUCAUAGAGUUAGGGAACUGCAACCAAAUCUGGCCUUCUGCUUGCUUUUGUUAAUAAAAUUUCACUAUAACUUGUCCAAUUGUUAUGCUCAGUUUUUUGGGGUUUUGUGUAGUCUUGCUUUUGACCUAUAGCUGUGAAAUUAAAUAGUCUUGACAGAGGCCAUGUAGCC